CAGGCCUUGACAUCCAAUGAACUUUCCAGAUAUGGAUUGGUGCCUUCGGGAACAUUGAGACAGGUGCUGCAUGGCUGUCGUCAGCUUGUGUCGUGAGAUGUUGGGUUAAGUCCCGUAACGAGCGCAACCCUUGUCCUUAGUUACCAGCACGUUAUGGUGGGCACUCUAAGGAGACUGCCGGUGACAAACCGGAGGAAGGUGGGGAUGACGUCAAGUCAUCAUGGCCCUUACGGCCUGGGCUACACACGUGCUACAAUGGUCGGUACAGAGGGUUGCCAAGCCGCGAGGUGGAGCUAAUCCCACAAAACCGAUCGUAGUCCGGAUCGCAGUCUGCAACUCGACUGCGUGAAGUCGGAAUCGCUAGUAAUCGCGAAUCAGAAUGUCGCGGUGAAUACGUUCCC
rnacentral:rRNA from 1 species